rnacentral:rRNA from 1 species
UUAGGAAUAGUCGGCAAUGGGCGAAAGCCUGACCGCGCGACACCGCGUGUAGGAUGAAGGUCUAACGAUCGUAAACUACUGUGGCAUGGGAAGAAGGCGUAAGCUUGACGGUACCAUGCUAGAAAGGGGCCGCUAACUGCGUGCCAGAAGCGUCGGUAAGACGUGGGCCCCAAGCGUUAUCCGGUGUAACUGGGCAUAAAGAGUCGCGUAGGCGGCUUGGAAAGUUACCUUUUAAAUUUCACGGCUCAACCGUGAAACUGGGGGUAAGACUCCCAAGCUCGAGUUUUCUUUAAGGGUAAAUGGAACUGUGGGAGGAGUAGUGAAAUGCGUUGAUCCCCACGGGAACACCAGUGGCGAAGGCGAUUUACUGUGAGAAAACUGACGCUGAGGCACGAAAGCUAGGGGAGAGAAGCAGAUUAGAGACCUGCGUAUUCCUAGCCGUAAACGAAUGCCUGCUAGCUGCAUUUCCAACCUUCGGGGUUUAGUGUGGCGAAGAUAAGUCGUUAAGCAGGCCG